rnacentral:rRNA from 1 species
UACGUAGGGGGCAAGCGUUGUCCGGAAUCAUUGGGCGUAAAGCGCGUGUAGGCGGCCAGAAAAGUCCGCUGUGAAAACUCGAGGCUCAACUUCGAGCUGUCGGUGGAAACUUUCUGGCUAGAGUCCGGAAGAGGAGAAUGGAAUUCCUGGUGUAGCGGUGAAAUGCGCAGAUAUCAGGAAGAACACCGAUGGCGAAGGCAGGUCUCUGGGCAUUAACUGACGCUGAGGAGCGAAAGCAUGGGGAGCGAACAGG